GCCUGGCUAGCUUAGUUGGUAAAGCAUAAGACUCUUAAUCCUAGGGUCGUAAGUUUGAGCCCCACAUUAGGCG
rfam:Mus musculus chromosome 17, GRC primary reference assembly.